rnacentral:rRNA from 1 species
AUUGAACGCUGGCGGAAUGCUUUACACAUGCAAGUCGAACGGCAGCACGGACUUCGGUCUGGUGGCGAGUGGCGAACGGGUGAGUAAUGUAUCGGAAUGUGCCCAGUCGUGGGGGAUAACGUAGUGAAAAUUACGCUAAUACCGCAUACGAUCUAUGGAUGAAAGCGGGGGAUCGCAAGACCUCGCGCGAUUGGAGCGGCCGAUAUCAGAUUAGGUAGUUGGUGGGGUAAAGGCCCACCAAGCCAACGAUCUGUAGCUAAUAGGGGAGGACGACCAGCCACACUUAAACUGUGACACGGUCCAGACUCCUACGGGAGGCAGCAUUGGGGAAUUGUGGACAAUAGGCUAAAUCCUGAUCCAGCCAUUACGUGUGCAGGAUGAAGGCCCUCGGUUUGUAAACUGCUUUUGCAGAGAACGAAAAGGUUUCUACUAGUACUAGGAGCUCAUGACGGUACUAUAAGAAUAAGCACUGGCUAUGUACGUUCCAGCAGCCCCCUUAA